UACGAUAGAAUCGGCUCCUCAUGGACGGUCGGCUCAUCCCCUGACGAAAGGGGGUGAUGCCAUGACAGUAUAUGAAUCCAUCUCCCUGAUGAUUGCAUUCGGGAUCUUGGUAAUUUCGAUGCUGUCGUUCCAUAAACGGAAAUAGACCGCCCCUUGGGUAAGAAGUGCGGUCUAUUUCAAAACUCACCGAGCCGGCCCCUUGCGAGGGCGACUGUUGUACUGACCGUAGGUGUAGCAGCACCUGCG
rnacentral:sRNA from 1 species